AAAAUAUGUAGAUAUAUUCUAAAAAUUAAUUUAAAAAAAAUAAAAUAAUAGUAUUAUUUUAUUUAAUAAUUUAUAAAGUAUUAAUAAAUAAGAUUAAUUAAAUGAAAAAACAAUUUUUAGUAAAAGGUUUAAGUAUUGAAAAAGAAAAAAUUUAAAAAUUUAAUAGUGAAAAAGUAAUGAAAAUGAAAAUUAUAAAAAAAAUUAAAAUAAUAAAAAGAAAAUUUAUUUUAUUGUAUCUUGUGUAUCAGAGUUUAAUAAUUAAAAAUUUAAAGAAGAAAUUAAUUUUCUCGAAAAAUAAAGAUUUAAUUAAUUAAUAUAGUUAAUGUUUAAAAAUUAUUAUAAAUAAUUAAUUGGAAAUGAAAAGUUAUUCGUUUUAUUUAUAUCUAGUUAUUUAAGAAAUAAAUUAAAUUUAAAUUAAUAUUUAAUUAAAAAAAAUAUUAAAAUAAAAUAUAAAUAAGUUAUGUAAAUAUAAUAAUAUUUGAUAUUAAUUAAUUUAUAUAGGGAUAAUCUUAUAUAUUAAUAAUUAUAUAGAUAAUUUAAUUUAAAAUAAUUUAAUAAAAUUAAAAUUUUGUAUUUAUUAAAGUUUUUAAUAAAAUAAUUAUUAAAAAAAAAAUUAUUUAAAAUUUAAUUGGAUAUUAAAAAUUUAUUAAAUAUUCAUUUAAAAUAAUAUUUAAUGAGUAAAAAUGUUAAAAUUAGUAUAAUUUAAUUUAAAUGAAAAAUAUUUAUAAUUAAUUAAAAUGAAUUAGGCAAAAAUUUAUAAAAAUAUUUUUUAUUUUUAUAAAAAUAUUUACCUGUUUAACAAAAACAUGUCUUUUUGAAAAAUAAAUUAAUUUAAAGUCUAAUCUGCCCACUGAAUAAUAUUUUUGAAGGGCUGCAGUAAUUUGACUGUGCUAAGGUAGCAUAAUAAAUAGUUUUUUAAUUGAAAACUGGAAUGAAUGAUUGGAUAAAAUAUAAACUGUAUAAAUUAAUUAAAAUAUUUAAAAUUUUUUUUUUCUAUUAAAAAAUAGAGAUUUAAUAAAUAGACGAGAAGACCCUAUAGAUUUUAAUUAAAUUUUAAUUAAAAAUUAAAUUAAUUAAAAUUUUUUUUAAUUUAAUGUUUAUUAAAUUUAAAAUAAAAAAUUUAAUUAAAUUUUAAUUUAAUUGGGGUGAUUAAAAAAAAUAAUAGAACUUUUUUAAUUAAUUUUAUUCAUUUAUUUAUGAAUAUAAAGAUCUUUCAUUGAUUAUGUUGAAGAUUAUUAGAUUAAGUUACCUUAGGGAUAACAGCGUUAUUUUAAUUUUAAGAUCUUAUUAAAAUUAAAGAUUGCGACCUCGAUGUUGGAUUAAAAUUAAUAAUUAUUGAAAAUGAUAAUUUAUUUAGUCUGUUCGACUAUUAAAAUUUUACAUGAUCUGAGUUCAAACCGGCGUGAGCCAGGUUGGUUUCUAUCUUUUAUAAAUUUAAUUUAUUUAGUACGAAAGGAAUUAUAUUUUUAAAAUAAAGUUUAUUAAAUUUUA
rnacentral:rRNA from 1 species